rnacentral:rRNA from 1 species
UACGAAGGGGGCUAGCGUUGUUCGGAAUCACUGGGCGUAAAGCGUAUGCAGGCGGGUCGCCAAGUCGGGGGUGAAAUGCCGAGGCUCAACCUCGGAACUGCCUUCGAUACUGGCGAUCUUGAGUCCGGGAGAGGUGAGUGGAACUGCGAGUGUAGAGGUGAAAUUCGUAGAUAUUCGCAAGAACACCAGUGGCGAAGGCGGCUCACUGGCCCGGUACUGACGCUGAGAUACGAAAGCGUGGGGAGCAAACAGG